CCGCCUCCUCGCACGACCCACACCGUCGAGUGUCCGGAGAUGGACGGGAAAAGCUACCACAGUGGCAUGGCCUUAUUUCCUUGCGUCUUUGUGCGGAGGCUGCGGCUCCUGGGUUGACUCGUCUGAAAUGUCACCUCUAAUUGGGAAGCCACAUCUCUCACAGAUGGCCAGGCUGUACGCAACUCUUGGCUGCUGGAUCUGUGGCCUUGCAGAGACGGCUGAAGCAGGAACACCUGGCGGCGAUGACUGCAGAUGGGUCCACAGGAACUGGUAGCAGAAACAAGAGAGCAGCCUUACCAGGCAUGAGAAGUGGGGCCUUCCGUGAGAGAGUGAGCAGGAGAGACAGGCAGAGCAUGAGAAGCUGGCGGGUGGCCUGGGCAGAGUUUCUCUGGGUCAGAAGUUCAGACAUGGCACAGUGGGAUGGCUUGCUUUUGCUCCAUCAUGGGCCUCAGCUGGAAGAUGUGAAGGUCAUAGACUGGAAUCUCUGAAGACUCAUCUAGCCACAAGCCUACAGGGUGCUGGCUCCAGCUGGGACACCACAUGAGCCUCUCCAUGUGGACUGGGCUUCUUUAUAACAUGGUGGCCGGUUCCAUGGGCAAGCAUGGAGGAGCGGGGGAGAGAGAUAGAA
rnacentral:lncRNA from 1 species